AAUUUGAAUGGAAUGCAGUCACUGGAUGAGGGUACAGAGAAUCCCUGAGCAGAAUCCUGGGUGUUUGUUUCUUUCCUGUGGUCCUGCCCUGCCCAGGCCUCUGAGAAAUGCAGAGCCUUUCCUCUCCCCAUCCCUCCCUCUCCCUCAGAGGUGAUUUUGAAAGGUCUCAGCUUCUUAUGCAUACCCCUUGGGGUCAGGAGAGCUGGGACCAAUGAGUGGGAGGUGGAUUUUGGCGGAACACAGGAGGAAUUCUCUUAGUCAGAGCCAUCCAAAAAUGGAAAGACCUGACUCAGAAGACAGCGUGUCCCCUGCCUGCAUAAGGUCCUGGUGAGGUCCUGUCAAGGGUGCUCUGCCCUGUGCUUUGACAGGUGUGUGCGGAGAUGAAAGAUGAGGAUGUCAAGACUUGGAGUAGGUGACAGUUGGCCUUGGGCUUCGGUGGCCAACCCAUGACUACAAAAGCCCGAGAAGCCAGCAGCUUCCCCGGCUCCUCCACCAAGUGGCCUCUGGGUGAUGGGGAAGCUUGUCCUCUGCUUUGUCACACACAAAACUCUAAAAGUCAGCAUCCCAACGCAUCGGCCUGGAGAGCCCGUCCAGGAGGAUUUAUGUGGAAUCUGGCUUUUCUGAUAGCAUCGACGUUCCUUCCCGUGCCUUCUGAGUCUGUUUCUCUUAAUUUGACUGUGGUCUCUGCUCUUCGCUGGACUCAGGGAGAUGUCACAAAUUCUGCACCAGAAUCUCACAAAUCACAAAGAACUUACUCAUGUAACGAAACACCACCUGUUUCCCAGUAACUAUGGAAAUAAAAAAAAAUUAAUAAUAAAAAAUUUAAAAAAUAAAA
rnacentral:lncRNA from 10 species